rnacentral:rRNA from 1 species
AUUGAACGCUGGCGGCAGGCCUAACACAUGCAAGUCGAACGAGUGGCGGACGGGUGAGCAAUGUCUGGGAAACUGCCCGAUGGAGGGGGAUAACUACUGGAAACGGUAGCUAAUACCGCAUACCAUCGGAUGUGCCCAGGUGGGAUUAGCUAGUCGGUGGGGUAACGGCUCACCUAGGCGACGAUCCCUAGCUGGCCUGAGAGGAUGACCAGCCACACUGGAACUGAGACACGGCCCAGACUCCUACGGGAGGCAGCAGUGGGGAAUAUUGCACAAUGGGCGCAAGCCUGAUGCAGCAAUGCCGCGUGUAUGAAGAAGGCCUUCGGGUUGUAAAGUACUUUCAGCGAGGAGGCGUUACUUACACAGGAAGCACCGGCUAACUCCGUGCCAGCAGCCGCGGUAAUAC